rnacentral:lncRNA from 1 species
AACGUCUGUGGAAAACUGUGGCCUAACUUUAAUGAAACAGUGUGCAUAGUCUUUGCAAAAUGAAGCCAAACAGACCUUUCGCUUGUGAUAACUAGGUUUACAAGGGUUAA